UACGUAGGGUGCAAGCGUUAUCCGGAAUUAUUGGGCGUAAAGGGCGCGUAGGCGGCUUUGCAAGUGACGGGUGAAAUCCCUCGGCUUAACCGAGGAACUGCCUGUCAAACUGCAUGGCUUGAGACCGGGAGAGGUGAGUGGAAUUCCCAGUGUAGCGGUGAAAUGCGUAGAUAUUGGGAGGAACACCAGUUGCGAAGGCAGCUCACUGGACCGUUACUGACACUGAGGCGCGAAAGCGUGGGGAUCAAACAGG
rnacentral:rRNA from 1 species